GACGUAGGGCGCGAGCGUUGUCCGGAAUUACUGGGCGUAAAGCGUGCGCAGGCGGUUGUGCAAGACCGAUGUGAAAUCCCCGGGCUUAACCUGGGAAUGGCAUUGGUGACUGUACGGCUAGAGUGUGUCAGAGGGGGGUAGAAUUCCACGUGUAGCAGUGAAAUGCGUAGAUAUGUGGAGGAAUACCGAUGGCGAAGGCAGCCCCCUGGGAUAACACUGACGCUCAUGCACGAAAGCGUGGGGAGCAAACAGG
rnacentral:rRNA from 1 species